ensembl:snRNA LOC120103224 U1 spliceosomal RNA
AGAAAUACCUAGUAGGGAAGACACUGUGAUCAUGAGGUGUUUUUUCCUAGAGCAAGUCUUACCUAUUGCACACCAAAUAUUCUGACCUCUGCGAUUUCCCCAAAGUUGGAAACUUGUCUGCAUAAAUUGUGGUAGUUGGUGAUGACAUGCAUUUGUUCUCUGC